ncrna:unclassified sequences ilvB-OMG RNA
GUCACGCGAGCGGCAACGGCUAACGGUGAGUACCCUCACCCUCUGGCCUACCUUAAGAACGGGAUAGUUCUUCAGGCUGUUUGCGGGUUCCGUUAGGUGGCGCUGUAGAGGCCACUCGGGCUCGACACUGCGUUACCUCGCAGGUCACCGAUACACGGGUUUCGUGAUCGUGGUCUGUGUAGCGCCCGGACCAAUCCGGCCAGUG